GUGCCAGCAGCCGCGGUAAGACAGAGGGUGCAAACGUUGUUCGGAAUUACUGGGCGUAAAGCGUGUGUAGGCGGCCAUGAUAGUCGGAUGUGAAAGCCCCGGGCUCAACCCGGGAAGUGCACCCGAUACUGCAUGGCUCGAGUACCGGAGAGGUUGGUGGAAUUCUCGGUGUAGAGGUGAAAUUCGUAGAUAUCGAGAGGAACACCGGUGGCGAAGGCGGCCAACUGGACGGAUACUGACGCUGAGACACGAAAGCGUGGGGAGCAAACAGGAUUAGAAACCCUCGUAGUCC
rnacentral:rRNA from 1 species